AUUAAGAUGGGCAUGCGGAACAUUAGCUAGUUGGUAAGGUAAUGGCUUACCAAGGCUACGAUGUUUAGGGGAUCUGAGAGGAUGACCCCCCACCACUGGUACUGAGACACGGACCAGACUCCUACGGGAGGCAGCAGUAAGGAAUAUUGGUCAAUGGGCGCAAGCCUGAACCAGCCAUGCCGCGUGCAGGAAGACGGCCCUACGGGUUGUAAACUGCUUUUGUACCGGAAUAAACCUUUUCACGUGUGAGAAGCUGAAUGUACGGUAAGAAUAAGGAUCGGCUAACUCCGUGCCAGCAGCCGCGGUAAUACGGAGGAUCCAAGCGCUAUCCGGAUUUAUUGGGUUUAAAGGGUGCGUAGGCGGUUCUUUAAGUCAGGGGUGAAAGACGGUAGCUUAACUAUCGCAGUGCCUUUGAUACUGAAGAACUUGAAUACACUUGAGGUAGGCGGAAUGUGACAAGUAGCGGUGAAAUGCAUAGAUAUGUCACAGAACACCAAUUGCGAAGGCAGCUUACUAAAGUGUCAUUGACGCUGAGGCACGAAAGCGUGGGGAUCAAACAGGAUUAGAUACCCUGGUAGUCCACGCCCUAAACGAUGAAUACUCGAUGUUGGCGAUAUACGGUCAGCGUCUAAGCGAAAGCGUUAAGUAUUCCACCUGGGGAGUACGCCCGCAAGGGUGAAGCUCAAAGGAAUUGACGAGGGCCCGCACAAGCGGAGGAGCAUGUGGUUUAAUUCGAUGAUACGCGAGGAACCUUACCCGGGCUUGAAAGUUAGUGAAUGAGACAGAGACGUCUCAGUCCUUCGGGACACGAAACUAGGUGCUGCAUGGCUGUCGUCAGCUCGUGCCGUGAGGUGUUGGGGUAAGUCCCGCAACGAG
rnacentral:rRNA from 1 species